rnacentral:lncRNA from 1 species
AAAGAAAAAAGAAGCAAAAAAAGAGACUUCCUCUCUCUUCCCUCUUUUCUCUCUCUAAUUUCUAUCUCCAUCUUCUCUCUCUACUUUUUCUCUCUAAAAUUUCUCUCUCUUGAUUAAUUCUUUCUUCAAGGGUUUUUUGGAUCUUCAAAAAGACUCUUAAUGAUCUUGAUUGAUUCUGAUGAACAAAUCCUUACCCUUGGUCGUCGGGCAUCGUGUCGGCAUCCAUCCUAGCCAGAUUAAGUACUGUUUGUUUUGAUAUUAUCCAUAAUUUAUAUUAAGUCAUCUAUAUACCAAUUUAAUCAUGAUUGGAUUAAAUCAUCUUGAUUUGAUCAAUCGGGAUGCUGGACAGUAUCAUCUAAUCGGUCC